CGAGUGGGCAGGAUAGGACCAAAGGCUCAGAUGCCCCAUCCCAAGUAAAUGACACAGUGGCUGUGAGAGGUCAUGGUGGCAUCUGGUGUUGCAGAACCAGAUCACCUCUCUGGCAGAUGCAUUUGCUCCUCUGUUGUUUGUUGAGUGUCCCAUCACCAAAAGAAGAAAAUAAUGACUCUCCUCCUCUUGCUGUUCCCCAAAACUCAUCUUGCUUAGCCCAGCACAAUUUUCCUUUUCAUCGAAGAGAUAUUGGAGAUAAUUGCUCUAUGCCAGGUUCUGUCUUCAUCAGCCUGGUCAAAGCUGGAUUGCCAUCAUACAUGUGCUCAGUCUACAGGAGGUACAAAAGGGAGCAUUGGAGUGGAGGAAGGAGUGCCAUAUGGGACAGCCAAGAAAAAAAUCUUCAUGAGAACUGGAACACCUCUUGAAAAGGGUAUUCAUGAAGACGUAAAUAAUGUAAAAUGAAAGUGGGCUCCGAUGUAAUAUUUUGAUCUGAAGUUAAAGACUGAUUAAGAUUUUCAUGAACUUAAACUUGAAUCUGUGUGUUCAUCAAAGGGUGUAAUUAAGAGUCACAUCCUUUCUAGGUCUGUGGGGAAAUUCCCAUCACCAUUGAUGAGAAUUGUGCAUAAAGAUCAUGGGAAGAGCAUGGCCCUUGGGUUUCCUCUUAAACAGCCUGUAGGAUUUGUUAUGGUUAUUUAAUGCACUGGUCCUUGGAGACACUAACUACAAUUCUGCCUCUACCUUCCAUGCUGAAAAUAACAAAAGCUGGGAGUGGAAGCCCCAGGAGAUGUAGAUAUCUUUUCAUUCUUUCUUCUUUAUCUACAAUUGAUUUAUUAUCAAAGGGAAAACUUCUGGCUCCAGUAAUGCUAAGUCACUAAACAACAACAAUAACAACAACAAAAUGAAUCCAAGUAUUAGAGGGGAGAAAAUGCUGCCCUGUGUUCAUUAAGCGAUUAACUUUUCUGCGAGUUAGACUUUCUUGGGAGCUAAGGUCAUUUCCUUAAGCUGCUGGGAAACUGUCGGUUCUGAAACACACUUACAUGUCGGAACAUUUUGGCCAGGGAUAUUUAGAAAUGUCUGUGGGCAAGGGCAACAAUAAUUUUCUUUAGAGAGAGUCUUGAGCUAAGAUGCAAACAAUAAGGAAUUGUAGAAUAAACCAUGGUAUGGUGAUAAAGCA
rnacentral:lncRNA from 13 species